rnacentral:rRNA from 1 species
CUUUUAACAACGGAUCUCUUGGUUCUCGCAUCGAUGAAGAACGUAGCAAAGUGCGAUAACUAGUGUGAAUUGCAUAUUCAGUGAAUCAUCGAGUCUUUGAACGCAUCUUGCACCUGCUGGUAUUCCAGCAGGUACGCCUGUUUCAGUAUCAG